AUCUCUACAUUUUUCAUAUGAGGAAAUUAAAGCUUAGAAAGUUUAUCUUUCUCAAGAACUGUUCAAAUUCCUGUCUUAGAAAUUAGAAAUUGGGAAAAUGAAUCCAUUCCUUAUAGAAAAAUUUUAUUGUAGACAUACAGUAGAGAAUCAGUUCCUAAUGGAAAAACUUUAUUUUUAUUUUAUCAUAGAGCAAGAUCAGGAAGAGAUCUCCUUCCACACAGGGGAAGGAAAUUGUUUUUUUUAUUAUGUAUGAGGCUGAGAUUGAAGGUGAUGGAAAGGAAAUAAUUGAAUAUGAGGGGUUGAAACACCAUGUGAGGAGAGAGGGUAAGGGCUCUCUUGGUGGCUAGGUCUUUUCAUUCUUGUGUUGAUAACUGUAAGAGACUUCCUUUCUCUGGAGUUCAUUUGAAUUGAUUUUUGGUUCUUUGUGACCUAAAGGUCCAAAUUAAAGCAGACCUGUAUAUUUGUAUAUAUUUGCUAGCUUAGUUUCAAUUAAGUAGAGGAAAUCUUGACUGAAAAGUGAUUAUAUUCCAGAAGUGUAUUUAUGAAUUUGAUUGGAAUCUAGGAAAUGGUUUCUCAUGAAAACAAUUAUAAGUGAUAAUUAUAUUCUUUAGUUAGUUCAUAUAGGUUAUAUCAGGUUGAACUACUAUAUAUUAUUAUGUAAUAAAAAUAGAUAACACUAUUGAAAUAUGUUUAUUAAAGUAAAGUCAGUGAUUCAAAUGAAGACUAAAAUAGUUUUUCUCAAAUGCUGGUACCUGAAGAAAAGCAGACUUAAUUAAAGAAGCAUAGGGUAGUAGAUAUAAAUUUACAUGACAGUUUUGGCUGCUUCAUAUUUAUUUAAAACAACUGUAUUGAAGGUGUUUAGUAUCCAUGACAGAUAAUUUGUGUUUAAAACUGUAAUGAAAUGAGAAAGGAUGGAGAUAUAUUUCUUUGGUCUGUGAAAGAUAGAGGGAAAGGAACAUGAUACAUGAUCCCUACCUCCUAUGUUAAAAGCAUUAUUUGUGGGCACCAAAUUUCUGUUCAUUGGUUCUUAAACUCUUCGGUCUGUGGACCACUUUAUACUCUUAAAAGUUAUUCAGGACACCAACGAGUUUUUGUUUAUGUUGUUAUGUCUAUUGAUAUUUUUUGUACUUGAAAUUAAAAAAGAAAUAUUGAAUAUAGAGACAUACAUUCCAUUAGUCAUCAGAGUGAUUAUGUUAUCACAAGGUCAUAUAGUGUCUGAGAAACUCCACUGUAUACUCAGAAAAUGAGAGUAGAAAAGGCAUUUAACCUGUUAGCCAUAUUAUUAAAAUAGUUUUGACUUUAUAGCUAUCCUGAGCAGGUCUUGAGUGAGAAACCCUGGAUCAAACUUUGAAGACUGCUCCUGUAGUUAUAGUAAUUCUGUUUUGAAACUCUUUAUUUUAAAUGGGAGAAGACUUUAGUCUUCUUAAGUCGAUGCAAGAAAUAAACCAUUUUCAGAAUGUGUAUAUUUUAUGUUGAGCAAACUCAUCACUCUUAAAUUCAGUUAUUUUACAUAAUGAAAGAAAACAAUUUGAGUUGACUUUGUAUUUAGUUUUAGAUUGGAUGACCAAAAUAUGAAGAAAAAAAGAGAUGGAUAGUGUUGAUUAUAGGUGUGUGUGUGUGUGUGUGUGUGUGUGUGUGUGUGUGUGUGUGUGUGUUGGGGAGAAGUGUUUUGGUCAAAUGGAAUUGAGCUGGUACUGGAAAUGUGAUCUCUGUGGCUCAUCUAAUGGUGGUCAUUUUGCUCUGUUUUUAGCCAUACAUUGUGGUUCACUAUAUGGCUGUUACUUGAGUCCUAUACCAGAAAGACUUAUGAUGGGUUGGCGCACAGAAAUGUCAUAUUUCAAUCACGACAUGAGAAAUGGUUGGAUUGCCUGUCCUACUAGGAGAUUCUCGACUGACAUUUUAUCGUGUUAUUGUGUUCCACGCUAUUUAGUUCCUUCUGGAGCCUUCCGAAUUUCACAUGCACUGCUUUCAUCAGCUCCUGCAGAGUGGAUAACUUACCUAGGGACCCAGGUCUUGCUGGACAAGCAGGCAAUUGUGAACAGAGACAGACUGGCCUUUUUUUUUUUUUUUUUUUUUUUUUGACUUAAAUUUUUAUAUUUUUUGCGUUUUAAAGUAUAGAUACUCAUUUUGGCAAUUUAUUGAAAAGUAAAAGCCAGUGAGUUUUCUGUAGGAAAUACAUAUCUUUAUCUGAAGUGGAAAGAUUGUGUAGAAGUGAGCCUGACUACCUGCUGGCUUUUCUUUCCAUAUUCAGUAACUUUUACAUUGUAACUGAAACAUUUUUCUAUCUCUAAACUAAGUAUAUCUUUGUUUUCUGGUACAUAUUUCUGUAAUGUAAACAUGCUUGUGUAGAUCUGAAGAAAACAAUGAGAAGCUGUUCUGUAUGCACAAAAUAUGGUGUCUUGUGGGGGUUUACCAAGGAGUAGAAGGGAGGGAUUUAUUUGAGGAGCUUUAAACUAGUUGCAAACUGGGAAUUUAUCUUGUAUAUCAUAAAGGUAUAAUUCUGCCAUCAGUUUAAAAGAAAAACAAGAUUUUGGUAGACUCUUGACUAAAAUGACUUGAACAAUGUUAGAGAAUUCUAAAAACUGGUAUAAAUCAGACUGCUAUAGAAGAGCAGCAAAAAAUUGGGGCUACUUUUUUGAUGUGUACUCAUUAUAAUUAGGUGUCUCUGUUGGCAGUUAGGUAACAGGAAAAUUUGAUAUGUUGUAUUUUAAUGAAAUAAUGGCACUUUAUAAAACUGAAAGUUAAUUUUAAAUAUUGUUUAGCUCAGCCAGCCAGAAUUUUGAUGUGGAUGUGGAAGAAAAGAGUCACCUUAUAAAGUGCAAGAAUAAAUAUAUAUGUUUUUAAAUGCUAAAGUAUGAAUUUUAAAUUUUUUUGCUGCUUUUUGAAAAUAUGUAAGAACUAAAUUAGGUUUUUGAUUAAUGACUAGUUAAUAACAGGGAAUAAAUAAGCAUGAUUCUAAAAAUCAAAUAGAAUGAAUUAGGAAUUGUUAAGACUUACGACGCUUUAAAAUUCUGUAUGAGAAAAUAGUGUAUUAUCAAGGGAUGAAUUGUGUUUUGUGUUGAUCGGGAGCUUUGCUAUUUUUAAAAAUUUAUUUCUAUUUUCUGCAAUUAUAACAUUGUUUCCCAUCUCUCAGACUGAAUUUGAACUGAUUUCUUCUUAACACCAUUAAGCAACUUAGUAAUCAGUGGCAUUUAAUUUUUGUAAAGCAAAACUUAGGGCUUUGGGUGCUUCCAAUAAAACUAAAAAGCCAUUGAAA